rnacentral:tRNA from 1 species
UUUAUUGUUGCCAAGUUUGGUGGCACAAGUUUAGCCGAUUUUGACGCCAUGUUUCGUUGUGCGCAAAUCAUUCAUGACGAUAACAAUGUCCGUGUUGUUGCAGUAAGC